rnacentral:rRNA from 1 species
AUUGAACGCUGGCGGCAGGCCUAACACAUGCAAGUCGAGCGAGCGGCGGACGGGUGAGUAAUGUAUGGGGAUGUGCCCGAUAGAGGGGGAUAACUACUGGAAACGUUGGCUAAUACCGCAUAUUAUCGGAUGAACCCAUAUGGGAUUAGCUAGUUGGUGGGGUAAAGGCCUACCAAGGCGACGAUCUGUAGCUGGUCUGAGAGGAUGAUCAGCCACACUGGUACUUAGACACGGCCCAGACUCCUACGGGAGGCAGCAGUGGGGAAUUUUGGACAAUGGGCGCAAGCCUGAUGCAGCCAUGCCGCGUGUAUGAAGAAGGCCUUAGGGUUGUAAAGGACUUUCGUCAGGGAAGCGGUACCUGCAGAAUAAGCACCGGCUAACUCCGUGCCAGCAGCCGCGGUAAUUC